UGCGGAGGGAUCAUUACACAAAUAUGAAGGCGGGCUGGAAUCUCUCGGGGUUACAGCCUUGCUGAAUUAUUCACCCUUGUCUUUUGCGUACUUCUUGUUUCCUUGGUGGGUUCGCCCACCACUAGGACAAACAUAAACCUUUUGUAAUUGCAAUCAGCGUCAGUAACAAAUUAAUAAUUACAACUUUCAACAACGGAUCUCUUGGUUCUGGCAUCGAUGAAGAACGCAGCGAAAUGCGAUAAGUAGUGUGAAUUGCAGAAUUCAGUGAAUCAUCGAAUCUUUGAACGCACAUUGCGCCCUUUGGUAUUCCAAAGGGCAUGCCUGUUCGAGCGUCAUUUGUACCCUCAAGCUUUGCUUGGUGUUGGGCGUCUUGUCUCUAGCUUUGCUGGAGACUCGCCUUAAAGUAAUUGGCAGCCGGCCUACUGGUUUCGGAGCGCAGCACAAGUCGCACUCUCUAUCAGCAAAGGUCUAGCAUCCAUUAAGCCUUUUUUCAACUUUGACCUCGGAUCAGGUAGGAGAUCUCUUGGUUCCGGCAUCG
rnacentral:rRNA from 1 species